rnacentral:lncRNA from 1 species
UGGAUAUUGGACCAUAAUAGGUAAUGUCCAAUUUAAAAUUUAAAGUUUUUAAGUUUAAGUUCUUAGACCACAUUCAUUAUGUGUCAGAAACCUGUGAUGUGUCAACUAUUUAAUCACAUCACAAUCCAAAUUCAGAGCUGUAUCAAGCUUGAAUGUUGUGUCCAUACUUGCCCCAUUGUUCAGGGUUCGAACUCUGCAGUCGUAUAAAGCUGUGCCCUGUGGAGCAUCUGGUUACUUUUUACUAAAAAGAGUGCUUUAAAUUGAAUACAUUAAUGAAAUGAAAUUAAGAAUAUUUCAACACAGACCUGAAAACGCGUUAAGUGGUGAUUCAAAUUCAAAUUUCUUUCUCUUGUUAAAAUAAUUUCAUACAGGCAGCUAAAUAAAAAAAAAAUAAUAAUUUCUUUUUAUUGAUAACAAAAUUCAUAUUGGUCUUACUUGGCUAUUACUGAAAAACUGAUAUACCUUAACAAUCUGGUUACAACAAAACAAUUUAUUUAAACAAAAGAGUUAUCGCUCUGCCUCAUUCAAUUGUGUCCACAGAGUUUUAAAUAAACAUGGAAACCUGUUAUGUAAUCAUUCAAAAUGGCUCUAUAAAUUGAGUGUAAACAAAACCGUCAUGAGGUCUUCAAAAUGAUCUGCCUUGAAGAAUACUGAAGCCACGUGAGACAGGUUCUGCUCAGCCUCAUGGACCAUCUGAGAUCACCAAGGUUUUUAGUAUGAUUAUGUUGCUUAGUAUUUUUUGUAGGCUAUCAUUGUUUUUCUUAUUUUGUCUUAGUUUUGUAGUUCUCUUUGUUUUAUUAGUUAUGAUGGUCCCUUUGGUAACUGUCGCUUCUUUUUUAGUGUAUUUUUUAUUAUUUAUUUAGUAAGCCAUACAGGAGAUAUAUUUUUUUGUACAUUUUUGUGUUGUUAUUUUUGUUAUGUGAGAUUAGUUUUCCCACAUUAUAAAGUUUUGCAUGUAAAUUUGUUUUUGCAUAAAAUUUAAUAAGUUUUGAUUUGUCUUUGAUUUAUAAAAAUAAUGCUUCUUUGUGGCUAUAUGUGUGAUCAGAAGCACUGUAGUAGGUUAUUUUUGUUUGUGUUGUGAAAACAAAAUGUAACUGUUAAAAGAUAUGAACUUUAAUCAUGUUAAUAGCUUAUUAAUAAUUUUACAUACAUGUACAUAUCAUGAAAUACAGUCUCCUGGAUAUUCAGUUGAUAUUAAUUUCAUUUUUUGUGCAACUGCAUUCCAAAAGCUGUACAAUCAGCAUUUAAAAACAAAGAAUUAUGGAAAAUAUUUUUGAAUAUUAUACGGUUUCAUCUAUUCAAAGUGAGCUCUUUUCUGGAUGAACUUCUUAUUUAUUUCAGUUUUUUUCUUUUUUUUUAGUAGGAAAAAGAAAGACUAUUGUCUUUUAGAAACUGAAAAUAGACAAGAUCACAUAUUAUAUUUAUCACAUAAUUUAUAAUUGAGAACAAAUUCCAUCAAGAAAAAUUAGAAAAGUAUUCACUAUUGUGAUAAGUUUCA